rnacentral:rRNA from 1 species
CUACGGGCGGCUCCAGUCGAGAAUCUUCCGCAAUGGACGAAAGUCUGACGGAGCGACGCCGCGUGCGGGAUGAAGGCCUUCGGGUUGUAAACCGCUGUCAGUGGGGAGGAAAUGCAUCAGGGUUCUCCCUGGUGUUUGACCGAUCCGCAGAGGAAGCGCAGGCUAAGUUCGUGCCAGCAGCCGCGGUAACACGAACUGCGCGAACGUUAUUCGGAAUCACUGGGCUUAAAGAGUUCGUAGGCGGCCUUUCAAGUCGGGUGUGAAAUCCCUCGACUCAACCGAGGAAUUGCGCCUGAUACUGUUGGGCUUGAGGGGGAUAGGGGUGAGCGGAACUGAUGGUGGAGCGGUGAAAUGCGCUGAUAUCAUCAGGAACACCGGUGGCGAAGGCGGCUCACUGGAUCUCUUCUGGCGCUGAGGAACGAAAGCUAGGGGAGCGAACGGGAUUAGAUACCCUGGUAGUC